rnacentral:rRNA from 1 species
CCUCCUUUCUUCCUCCUUUUUUCCUCUUUUCCCCUUUUUUCCCCCCUUCUCCAGCGACUCCUCGUGAGUGAAGAAGUAUUUCGGUACGUAAAGCUCUAUAAGCAGGAAAGAAAAUGACGGUACCUGACUAAGAAGCCCCGGCUAACUACGUGCCAGCAGCCGCGGUAAUACGUAGGGGGCAAGCGUUAUCCGGAUUUACUGGGUGUAAAGGGAGCGUAGACGGCAGCGCAAGUCUGGAGUGAAAUGCCGGGGCCCAACCCCGGAACUGCUCUGGAAACUGUGAAGCUGGAGUGCAGGAGAGGUAAGCGGAAUUCCUGGUGUAGCGGUGAAAUGCGUAGAUAUCAGGAGGAACACCGGCGGCGAAGGCGGCUUACUGGACUGUAACUGACGUUGAGGCUCGAAGGCGUGGGGAGCAAACAGGAUUAGAUACCCUAGUAGUC